CUCCAAUCCUCACAAUGUAUUUUUCUUCAAGAGGGUGUGGCUACAAUUGUUUAUUCAUUUUUACAGAAGUGUUGUAGCUGAUCUAAGGCGGCAACGUGGUGCUCUUAGGCGUCGUUGUUGAUCUUUUAUGAGCAAUGAGUGCAGUGUUAUAGUGGAGAUCCUUGUUGCAGUUGAUCAGGUCUUUGCGACGAGAGUGCUGCGAGGUUCAUUAACUAUUUGCUGGGCAGUGCUAAGAAAGGCCAAAGUAUGGGCAGUGUUGUUGUGAGGAGGCGGUUUAUCUCCGAGGGCUAGGGAAUCUUUCGUAGAUAGGAGUGGCGCUGCGCUUGGUGGAGGACUUUAUCACCGAUCUUCGACUUUCAAUUUUUUUUGUGAUCGAGAGGAGCUCCAAAUUUUGCAAAAGAAUUACAUUGGCUAAACUAGAAUCAGGCAUGGCGUUGUUGCUAGAGGUCAAGCUGUGGAAAGCAGUAACUAUUCCUUUUGGAAGAGGAGUUAUAUCUGAAUGCGGCUGGAGCGACGACAGUCUACUAGGGUUCUCUUCUUCGAUGAUUGCGGUCCAGUUGCAGUGACUACAAAUCUUAGUCAUCGACUGGAAGUAAUACGUCACGAUAUUUAUUCUUCUCUUGUUGAUGGAUUGUAGUGGUGGAGGCUAAAGGCUUGUGAUUUGGUAGUGAAUGCUAAUGCGGUGUAUUUGGAUUUUUUUUUGCUUUUCUGGCUUUGAUCUUGGAGACGUUACAACUUGCGGCGGUUGUCGCUGCAAUUAUUGUUAAAUUUUUUUAACAGUAUUUCAAUAGUUUAGAACAUCUGCGGGAUAGUCGUUCUGCUUGUAGUGGCAAUUCUAGCACAAUGCACAAGGUAGACUUGCGGUGGGGUGCAGACUUAGUUUCGUUCAUUUUUUGUUAUUUUGAGCAGUUGAUUGAAUUUUUGUUCUUUCUUGUAGUAUGCAGCAGUUGUGGAUGCAGUGUAAGAAAUAUCAAUGCGGUGCUAUGGUGGACAUCAACGAGCUAUUGUAAAUUCUGUUAGCACCUCGAGUGAGUGACUGGAUGUGAUAAUCAUCAAGUCCUAAGAAUGGUUUACAAACUAGUUUGACUCAGUAGGAUUGAUUAGAAUCAGUUUUGGAUUUCAACAUAAUCUCUUCUCUAGGCCAUACACUUGUAGUCACUGCAACAUAAAACCAGAUCAAGAGGAGUCCAGGUCGGGUGGAUUCUGAAGUGAGCAAAUGUCUCAAUCAAAGGAAUCUCUUGAUAAGAACAUUUUUUUGUAAAGUACUGAUUUUAUGGAAUGAAGUUAGGGUUUGGACAAUUUGAUGAUUGAA